AAUGAACGCUGGCGGCAGGCCUAAAACAUGCAAGUCGAGCGCCCUAGCAAUAGGGAGCGGCGCACGGGUGAGUAACACGUGGGAAUAUGCCUUUUGGUACGGAACAACCUCGGGAAACUGAGGCUAAUACCGUAUGGUCCCUUCGGGGUAAAGAUUUAUCGCCAAAAGAGUAGCCCGCGUUGGAUUAGCUAGUUGGUAAGGUAACGGCUUACCAAGGCGACGAUCCAUAGCUGGUCUGAGAGGACGAUCAGCCACACUGGGACUGAGACACGGCCCAGACUCCUACGGGAGGGCAGCAGUUAGGAAUAUUGGACAAUGGGCGCAAGCCUGAUCCAGCCAUGCCGCGUGAGUGAUG
rnacentral:rRNA from 1 species